rnacentral:sRNA from 1 species
UAACAUUAAUAAAAUAAUGGUAUUUUUACGGGACGGGUUUGGCGGGACGGGUUUGACAGGAUGUUACUUAAUAACUAUUGUAGAUAGAUACAAUAAUAGAGUAUGGUUUAGAGUUAACCAUACAUUUGUUUCAGUAAUGUAAACCGGUAUAAGAUACACUAUUACUAGAUUUUUAAGACAUGUGAAAUAUAUAUAAGAUUCACCAUUUUUGCAGCCAUUUUAACAAAUAAAUCUUGGAGUUGGACUUAUUUACAACCCAAUGCCAUUAGCAUUAAAUCUUUUUUUCAAAAUAAUUAAUUUUACUUUAAAUUCUUAAUUUAAAUUGUCAAUCACAUUAUCAAUCAAAUUUAAUCCAAACAAACUUCACAUCAAUCCCUUAAAAUUAGCAUAAA